GAUGAACGCUGGCGGCGUGCCUAAUACAUGCAAGUCGAGCGAACAGACGAGGAGCUUUCUCCUCUGACGUUAGCGGCGGAGGGGUGAGUAACACAUGGAUAACCUACCUAUAAGACUGGGAUAACUUCGGGAAACCGUAGCUAAUACCGGAUAAUAUAUUGACCCUCAUGGGUCCAUAGUUAAAGACGGUUUUUCUUUCACUUAUAGCUUGAUCCGCGCCGGAUUAGCUAGUUGGUAAGGUAACGGCUUACCAAGGCAACGAUGGGAAGCCGACCCAAGCGGGUGAUUGGACACCUGGGAACAGAGACACGGUACAGACACUGACGGGAGGAAGCAGUAGGGAAUCUUACGCAAUGGGCGAAAGGCUGAUGGAGCAAAGCGGGCUGAGGGCUGAAGGUCUUCGGACGGUAAAAUUAUGAAAUUAGUGAAGAUGAAAUGUGUAAGUAACUAGGCACGUAUUGACGGUACCUAAUCAGAAAGCCACGGCUAACUACGUG
rnacentral:rRNA from 1 species